rnacentral:rRNA from 1 species
CAGUCGCCGCGGUAAUACGAAGGGGGCUAGCGUUGUUCGGAAUCACUGGGCGUAAAGCGCACGUAGGCGGAUUUUUAAGUCAGGGGUGAAAUCCCGAGGCUCAACCUCGGAACUGCCUUUGAUACUGGAGAUCUUGAGUUCGGAAGAGGUUGGUGGAACAGCUAGUGUAGAGGUGAAAUUCGUAGAUAUUAGCUAGAACACCAGUGGCGAAGGCGGCCAACUGGUCCGACACUGACGCUGAGGUGCGAAAGCGUGGGGAGCAAACAGGAUUAGAUACCCCCGUAGUCCCUGUCUCUUAUAC